UUGCAAUGGACAAUAUUGUGCGAACUAAACGUCAACAAAGAAACCACUAUAUUUACUGGGCGGUAGUCAUGUGUCUGUUUAUUUUAUUCAUAAUUAUGUUAUUUUUCUUUAUUGAGCAAAAGCCCGUAUACUGCACUGACUAUGAAGUCGUUUGCGUAGAACACGAACAAUAAUUUAAAAAAUUUUAUAUAUGCUUAAAGACAUGCUGCUUGGGACUGCCUGAGGUACGUGAGGCAUAUUAACUAAGUAUUAAUUUGUUAGCCCUUUUUAGUAUUUUUGUAUCGCUUCGAUAGUUUAAAUCGAUCUGAGUUAAUGAUCACGUUUAAACAUUUGUGGCUUUUUCAAGCUGCCAGAGAAAACUACGCCGCCAUUUGCAGACAAUGUGCUCGAUGUUUACACAUAAUUAAGACAAUUUGCUGAUUGGCUGCCAAAAGUUGAGCACAGGCGCUGAGAACUUGCUUAAACAGACGCCAGUUCAAAUUACUCAACUCUUCAAAAAAAAAGAACUGCCUGCUCCAUUAACACGAUAUAUAUUCACAUGAUUUUCAACAAUUUCUCACACAUAUAGGCCGCCAGCACAGUGCCUGUUAGCAGUUGUCUGACAUCGAAUAAAAUAUGAAACCUGUUUUUUUCGUCUACCUUAGCAUCACAU